rnacentral:rRNA from 1 species
AUUGAACGCUGGCGGCAGGCCUAACACAUGCAAGUCGAGCGGAUGAAGGGAGCUUGCUCCUGGAUUCAGCGGCGGACGGGUGAGUAAUGCCUAGGAAUCUGCCUGGUAGUGGGGGAUAACGUCCGGAAACGGGCGCUAAUACCGCAUACGUACUGAGGGAGAAAGUGGGGGAUCUUCGGACCUCACGCCAUCAGAUGAGCCUAGGUCGGAUUAGCUAGUUGGUGGGGUAAAUGCUUACCAAGGCGACGAUCCGUAACUGGUCUGAGAGGAUGAUCAGUCACACUGGAACUGAGACACGGUCCAGACUCCGACGGGAGGCAGCAGUGGAGAAUAUUGGACAAAGGGCGAAAGCCUGAUCCAGCCAUGCCGCGUGUGUGAAGAUGGUCUUCUGAUUGUAAAGCACUUUAAGUUGGAAGGAUGGGCAGUAAGUUAAUACCUUGCUGUUUUGACGUUACCAACAGAAUAAGCACCGGCUAACUUCGUG